rnacentral:lncRNA from 1 species
CUGGGCAUAAGGUCUGUGUUGUUUGAUAUUUCCCUGCCUCUUUCUACCUCUCAGAGCAGUGGACUGGCUGAGGAACAGGUGGUAGGGAGAUAAAUCAUUCUUUCCAAAUACAAGCCAGAUGGUCCCAGUCCCUAACACGUGCAUGGCUUGACUCUUUUUGAUUCCUGACCCAUUUUGACAUAACAUUCUACUUGUUUGUCAGGUUCUGCUUGAAAUAGAAUCAUCAUGGGGCCAUACUGAAUUGUGCAUAGCAGAUCACGCAGAAAGAAGUCAUUGGUGUAAGUUUAGA